rnacentral:rRNA from 1 species
GACGAACGCUGGCGGCGUGCCUAAUACAUGCAAGUCGAGCGGACGGAUGGGAGCUUGCUCCCAGACCGUCAGCGGCGGACGGGUGAGUAACACGUGGGCAACCUGCCUGUAAGACUGGGAUAACUCCGGGAAACCGGGGCUAAUACCGGAUAACUCUUUCCCUCACAUGAGGGAAAGCUGAAAGAUGGCAUCUCGCUAUCACUUACAGAUGGGCCCGCGGCGCAUUAGCUAGUUGGUGAGGUAACGGCUCACCAAGGCGACGAUGCGUAGCCGACCUGAGAGGGUGAUCGGCCACACUGGGACUGAGAAACGGCCCAGACUCCUACGGGAGGCAGCAGUAGGGAAUCUUCCGCAAUGGACGAAAGUCUGACGGAGCAACGCCGCGUGAGUGAUGAAGGUUUUCGGAUCGUAAAACUCUGUUGUCAGGGAAGAACAAGUACCGGAGUAACUGCCGGUACCUUGACGGUACCUGACCAGAAAGCCACGGCUAACUACGUG